UCUUCCCCAUAUACCUUUGAUGCUUUUGCCUCCAUACCUUCGAGCUAGUAUUUUUUUCAAGGGUUAUCAUGUUUUUGUGGUAGUGUGACUGGCUCAGAGUUUAUAAUCAUUUGUCUUCUUCAAUGAAUGUCUGUGCUAUGAUAUUCUGUAAGGCUAGGCACACACUAAGUUGGUUAAUGCUUUUGAUCUAGGUUGUUGGGAGAUAAUGAAACAAUAAUGUUUAUCUGCUCACAAUGCCUUAUAUUGAUUGCUCUGGACAGGUAUUUUAAUCGUAAGAGAUGUCUCCAAAAAGGCAAAAACAACAAUUCACUGUUGAUUUACUUUGCUACGAUUGCUCCCAUUAGAUUGUCCUUAAAUCAUGUGCAAAGCUGAAGUAUUGUUCGCUGACUGUCAGCCUGACAGAUCAGAUGGGAUGAUGAUGCAGAGUGUUAAAAGGCCUAAUGGGUUAUCUCCUUGGUAGAUGAAGCUUGUUGGAUUGAUUUCAGGCCAUUGAAAACAGAUGACACCAUGCCUCCCCCAGUUAAUGAACAUGUGUCGCUUCCAAGUACAUACUGAAGGAUGUUCUGAGGCUAGCACCUGGUUUAGAAGUUUUGCAAUUCACAACAAUACCUCAUAAUUUUGAUUUGAUGUCCAGAAUGUCAAUUGAAGAAUGAGCCUAUGAACUGCAUUGUAUUUUGUAAUAUAUCCUUAUAUAUGGUGCUUGUGGCGUUUUGUUUUUGCAAUUAUAAGUUUACGUUUAUGGGUAUUAUAGAGUCCUUUCUUUUUCCACAAGGGGCAGUAGCCGUGCCAUUCGAUUCGAAGGACAAAGAGUUGAUCACAAAGGGGUAGCACUUAGGAUAUAUACACAAGAGUAUAGAACCAAAUUAUAUGAUGUAAUUCACCACUAUUUCUAUUAACUUCUCAUGUACAAAUGUUCACGAGUUCAUGUAUUAAGUACAUUUUAUUGUGUCA